CCUGCCUUGGCCUCCCAAAGUGCUGGGAUUACAGGCAUGAGCCACCACACCCGGCCAUCUCCUGCCUUUUUUUUUUUUUGGAUGGAGUUUCACUCUUGUUGCCGAGGCUGGAAUGUGGAAUGCAAUGGCGCGAUCUCGGCUCACUGCAACCUCCACCUCCUGGGUGCAAGCAAUUCUCCUGUCUCAGCCUCCUGAGUAAUUGGGACUACAGGCAAACAUCACCAUGUCCAGCUGUCCCCAGCUUUCUAAUCUGGUCUUUCUCUUGCCCCAGAACCUCAAGAAGGCAUGAAGCCAGCCCCUGCAGUGCCGUCCACCCGCCCCUCUGUCUGGGCCUGCCUGUGGCUCUGUUGCCCUCCUCUGUGGCGGCAGGACCUUUGUGGGGCUUCGUGCCCUGCUCUGGGGCCCAGGCGGGGCUGGUCCACAUUCCCAGGCCCCAACAGCCUCCAAAGAUGGGUAAAGGAGCUUGCCCUCCCUGGGCCCCCCACCUUGGUGACUCGCCCCACCACCCCCAGCCCUGUCCCUGCCACCCCUCCUAGUGGGGACUAGUGAAUAACUUGACCUGUGACCUCAGUACAAUAAAUGUGAUCCCCCACCCAA
rnacentral:sRNA from 1 species